rnacentral:tRNA from 1 species
UAGUCCUUAUUUCAAUGGAUAGAAUAACGCACUCCGAAUGCGUUUAUCGGGGUUCGAUUCCCCGAGGACUAA